rnacentral:rRNA from 1 species
UACGUUCGUUGGGUAGGGGAGCGUUCUGUAAGCCUGCGAAGGUGGCCUGUGAGGGUUGCUGGAGGUAUCAGAAGUGCGAAUGCUGACAUAAGUAACGAUAAAGCGGGUGAAAAGCCCGCUCGCCGGAAGACCAAGGGUUCCUGUCCAACGUUAAUCGGGGCAGGGUGAGUCGACCCCUAAGGCGAGGCCGAAAGGCGUAGUCGAUGGGAAACGGGUUAAUAUUCCCGUACUUGGUGUUACUGCGAAGGGGGGACGGAGAAGGCUAUGUUGGCCGGGCGACGGUUGUCCCGGUUUAAGCGUGUAGGCUGGUUUUCCAGGCAAAUCCGGAAAAUCAAGGCUGAGGCGUGACGACGAGGCACUACGGUGCUGAAGCAACAAAUGCCCUGCUUCCAGGAAAAGCCUCUAAGCAUCAGGUAACAUCAAAUCGUACCCCAAACCGACACAGGUGGUCAGGUAGAGAAUACCAAGGCGCUUGAGAGAACUCGGGUGAAGGAACUAGGCAAAAUGGUGCCGUAACUUCGGGAGAAGGCACGCUGACAUGUAGGUGAAGUGAUUUACUCAUGGAGCUGAAGUCAGUCGAAGAUACCAGCUGGCUGCAACUGUUUAUUAAAAACACAGCACUGUGCAAACACGAAAGUGGACGUAUACGGUGUGACGCCUGCCCGGUGCCGGAAGGUUAAUUGAUGGGGUCAGCGCAAGCGAAGCUCCUGAUCGAAGCCCCGGUAAACGGCGGCCGUAACUAUAACGGUCCUAAGGUAGCGAAAUUCCUUGUCGGGUAAGUUCCGACCUGCACGAAUGGCGUAAUGAUGGCCAGGCUGUCUCCACCCGAGACUCAGUGAAAUUGAACUCGCUGUGAAGAUGCAGUGUACCCGCGGCAAGACGGAAAGACCCCGUGAACCUUUACUAUAGCUUGACACUGAACAUUGAGCCUUGAUGUGUAGGAUAGGUGGGAGGCUUUGAAGUGUGGACGCCAGUCUGCAUGGAGCCGGCCUUGAAAUACCACCCUUUAAUGUUUGAUGUUCUAACGUGGACCCGUAAUCCGGGUUGCGGACAGUGUCUGGUGGGUAGUUUGACUGGGGCGGUCUCCUCCUAAAGAGUAACGGAGGAGCACGAAGGUUGGCUAAUCCUGGUCGGACAUCAGGAGGUUAGUGCAAUGGCAUAAGCCAGCUUGACUGCGAGCGUGACGGCGCGAGCAGGUGCGAAAGCAGGUCAUAGUGAUCCGGUGGUUCUGAAUGGAAGGGCCAUCGCUCAACGGAUAAAAGGUACUCCGGGGAUAACAGGCUGAUACCGCCCAAGAGUUCAUAUCGACGGCGGUGUUUGGCACCUCGAUGUCGGCUCAUCACAUCCUGGGGCUGAAGUAGGUCCCAAGGGUAUGGCUGUUCGCCAUUUAAAGUGGUACGCGAGCUGGGUUUAGAACGUCGUGAGACAGUUCGGUCCCUAUCUGCCGUGGGCGCUGGAGAACUGAGGGGGGCUGCUCCUAGUACGAGAGGACCGGAGUGGACGCAUCACUGGUGUUCGGGUUGUCAUGCCAAUGGCACUGCCCGGUAGCUAAAUGCGGAAGAGAUAAGUGCUGAAAGCAUCUAAGCACGAAACUUGCCCCGAGAUGAGUUCUCCCUGAGACUUUAGGUCUCCUGAAGGAACGUUGAAGACGACGACGUUGAUAGGCCGGGUGUGUAAGCGCAGCGAUGCGUUGAGCUAACCGGUACUAAUGAACCGUGAGGCUUAACCUUACAACGCCGAAG